AACGAACGCUGGCGGCAGGCUUAACACAUGCAAGUCGAGCGCCUCGCAAGGGGAGCGGCAGACGGGUGAGUAACGCGUGGGAAACUACCCUUUGGUACGGAAUAACACAGAGAAAUUUGUGCUAAUACCGUAUGUGCCCUUCGGGGGAAAGAUUUAUCGCCAUAGGAUGUGCCCGCGUAGGAUUAGCUAGUUGGUGUGGUAAUGGCGCACCAAGGCGACGAUCCUUAGCUGGUCUGAGAGGAUGACCAGCCACAUUGGGACUGAGACACGGCCCAAACUCCUACGGGAGGCAGCAGUGGGGAAUAUUGGACAAUGGGCGCAAGCCUGAUCCAGCCAUGCCGCGUGAGUGAUGAAGGCCUUAGGGUUGUAAAGCUCUUUCACCCACGACGAUAAUGACGGUAGUGGGAGAAGAAGCCCCGGCUAACUUCGUG
rnacentral:rRNA from 1 species